UCGCGCCCGGCCAGGACGCCCGGCCGGCGGGCCACGACCCCGGCGGCGCGGCCCGCGCGCACGCCCACGCCGGUCCCGACCCCGGCGGCGCGCCC
rnacentral:tRNA from 1 species